UAAUUCCUGGAAUGCUCGACAACCUUACCAAUUUUGAACCUACAUUUGUGACAUCGGGAUUCCAAUAUUUGUGAGUGGAUGUCAGGCCUCCUUUUGAGUGGAAGGCAGAAGCUUACGUGAGGUUGCCCACCUAGCAACAGCUAGGCGUCAAUAAGUAAGACCGACAUUUUGGGAUUACA
rnacentral:other from 1 species